rnacentral:tRNA from 1 species
GGUUGUGGCUCAGCGGUAGAGCGCUUGCUUGGCACAUGCGAGACCGUGGGUUCGAUUCUCAGCACCA